GAUCCUGGCUCAGGACGAACGCUGGCGGCGUGCUUAACACAUGCAAGUCGAACGGGAUUUAGUAGACAGAAACCUCGGUGGAAGAUUUACUAAUGAGAGUGGCGAACGGGUGAGUAACGCGUGAGCAACCUGCCUAUGACAGUGGGAUAGCCUCGGGAAACCGGGAUUAAUACCGCAUAAAAUCGUAGAAACACAUGUUUCAACGGUCAAAGAUUUAUCGGUCAUAGAUGGGCUCGCGUCUGAUUAG
rnacentral:rRNA from 1 species